CCUGCUUUAGAGAUUUUUGGAACUUUGAACUUAAGAAAGAUGACUUAGGGUAUCUGACAGAAGAAACUUACAAGCAGUAAAGCAUUCAAGAGGUGACUUGGGUACUGUUAAAGGCAUUCAGCUUUAUAAGGGAAGCAGAGCAUAGAAGUUUGGAAAUUUUGCAGCCUGACUAUGCAAUAGAAAAGAAAAAUCCAUUUUCUGGGGAGAAAUUCAAGCCAGCUGCAGAAAUUUGCAUAAGUAACAAGAAGCACAAUGUUAAUCCCUAAGACCAUGGGGAAAAUGUCUCCAGGCCAUGUCAGAGAUGGCCCCUCCCAUCACAGGCCCAGAGGCCCAGGAAGAAAAAGUGGUUUCAUGGGCCAGGCCCAGGGUCCCCAUACUGUGUGAAGCAUGGGGACUUGGUGCCUUGUGUCCUACCCACUCCAGCCAUGGCUGAAAGGGGCCAAUGUAGAGCUUGGGCUGUGGCUUCAGAGGGUGGAAGCCCCCCAAGUCUUGGCAGCUUCCAUGUGGUGUUGAGCCUGUGGGUACACAGAAGUCAAGAAUUGAGGUUUGGGAACCUCUGCCUAGAUUUCAGAAGAUGUAUGGAAACGCCUGGAUGCCCAAGCACAAGUUUGCAGCAGAGGCAGGGCCCUCAUGGAGAACAUCUGCUAGGGCAGUGCCAAAGGGAAAUGUGGGGUCGGAGCCCCCACACAGAGUUCCUACUGGGACACUGCCUAGUGGAGCUGUGAGAAGAGGGCCACUGUCCUCCAGACCCCAAAUGGUACAUCCAUGAAUAGCUUACACUAUGUGCCUGGAAAAGCUGCAGACACUCAAUGCUAGCCCAUGAAAGCAGCUGGGAGGGUGGUUGUAACUUACAAAGCCACAGGGGUGGAGCUGCCCAAGACGAUGGGAACCCAUCUUUUGCAUCACUCUGACCUGGAUGUGAGACCUGAAGUCAAAGGAGAUCAUUUUGGAGCUUUAAAAUUUGACUGGCCCACUGGAUUUCAGAUUUGCAUGGGCCCUUUAACCCCUUUGUUUUGGCCAAUUUCUCCCAUUUGGAACAGUUAUAUUUACCCAAUACCUAUACCCACAUUGUAUCUAGGAAGCGACUAGCUUGUUUUUUAUUUUACAGGCUCAUAGGCAGAAGGGACUUGCCUUGUCUCAGAUGAGACUUUGUACCAUGGACUUUUGGGUUAAUGCUGAAAUGAGCUAAGGCUUUGGGGGACUGUUGGGAAGGCAUGAUUGGUUUUGAAAUGUGAGGACAUGAGAUUUGGAGGGGCCAGAAGCAGAAUGAUAUGGUUUGGCUGUGACUCUACCCAAAUCUAAACUUGAAUUGCAUCUCCCAGAAUUCUCACAUGUUUUGGGAGGGACCCUGGGGGAGGUAAUCAAAUCACAGGGGCCGGUCUUUCCUGUGCUGUUCUCAUGAAAGUGAAUAAGUCUCACGAGAUCUGAUGGGUUUGUCAGGGGUUUCCCUUUUUGCUUCUUCCUCAUUUUUUCUCUUGCCGUCGCCAUGUAAGAAGUGCUUUUUGCCACCACCCAUGAUUCUGAGGCCUCCCCAGCCAUGUGGAACUGUGUAAGUCCAAUUAAACCUCUCUUUAUUCCCAGUUUCAGGUGUGUCUUUAUCAGCAGCAUGAAAACAAACUAAUACAGCAGUGCUAAGAGAAAAGUUCAUAGCCCUAAAUGCCUACAUCAAAAAGCCUGAAAGAGCACAAACAGACAAUCUAGGGUCACACCUCAAGGAACUAGAGAAACAAGAACAAACCAAAUCCAAAUCCAGCAGAAGAAAGGAAAUAACCAAGAUCAGAGCAGAACUAAAUGAAAUUUAAAUAACAACAACAAAAUACAAAAGAUAAAACAAAAACUGGUUCUUUGAAAAUAUAAAUAAAAUUGAUAGACCAUUAGCAAGAUUAACCAAGAAAAGAAGAGAAAAAUCCAAAUAAGCUCAAUUAGAAACAAAAUAGGAGGUAUUACAACCAACACCACAGAAAUACAAAAACUCAUUCAAGGCUACUAUGAACACCUUUACACACAUAAACUAGAAAACCUAGCAGAGAUGCAUAAAUUCCUGGAAAGAUACAACCCUCCUGGCUUAAAUCAGGAAGAACUAGAUAUUCUUGUUAAAGAUCGUGAACUCCAAGUUUCUUUUCAAAGAAUCACUAUGUCAGUAUGUUCAGCUCUCUUUAUUCUCCAUUUUAAAGUCUAACUUCCUGGUUCUAUUGCCCCGCUUGCCUCUAGUUUCAGUAAACAAGUUUCCUGCCAGUUCUAAUCAGUAGUUCACAUCUGUUCCCCUGGUCACCUGCUUUGUCCUGAGUCACCCCUGGUCACCUGCUCCAUCUUGAGUCACCCCUGUCACCUGCUCUGACCUGAAUCAUCCUGAGUCAACUGUUCUGUAACCACCCCUCCCGCCAAACUUCUCACCCUGUCACUCCAGCUUGUACCCCUGCUCUCUUUAAAAUAGCCAAUCGGAAUUAGCUUACACUGUGCGGUCCAAUCCUAGCCAAUAGGGGAAUGACACAACAGCAGGGACUACCUGCACCAGGAAUACGAACCGCUUCCCUCCCCUUGUUCAGGUGUGCUUUCGCCAUUACUCCAACCACGAGUCGCACCCUUCUAUAGAAGUAAAAAUUACCUGGCUGAGAAAAUUAAAUUUAUGUUCAAGUGCUAUUUCUCUGCAGCACCAAGGAACAGGCAUUUGUUUCUAACAAUCUCGUGGCCCAUAUGGGGAGCUAUUCUCCUCUAGGGGUGGCCUCUAUUCCUCUCUCACGCCCCACUGCCUUGUUGCGGUGGCCUCAAGAGUCAGGAAUCGAGACUCACCUGGUGUGACAAAUAAACCUGGACUCAGCAAUGUCGAAAGAAACCAGCCGGCGACCCAGGGGAAAGGAUCCUCACACACCACAGUGACCAGGCAACUCUGUGCACAGACCGAGGAAGGAAACGCCUGGGAGCCAGCAAAGUAUUUCCUUGGUGGUUGGGACAGACCAAGCCAUAUCCCCAACAUCUAGAAGAGGGCCUGGUACACAGGAAGUGCUCAAGAGGUAUUUGCUGGAUAAAUACUGAUUGCUGUGUGACCUGGGACACAGACAUCGCCUUCUCUGGGCUUCAGCUUUUCUUACUGGGAUAUGAGGCUCUGACCAGAAGGGAGGUUCCCAGCCUUUCUGCUAAAGACCCCUGAAGACUACCUAAGCCCCCUGAAGCUGCCGGUGUGCUGAGAUCUCAAACCACAAAGCACCACUGUACUCACAAGGGGCUCCAGCGGUACUUUCUGAAGAACACGCAGUUCCUCUGGGAGCUCCUGCCCAUUAUUCCAGAUGGUCUUGGAUUGGAAAUGUGAAAUUGCACCUUCCUACACUACUUCCAGAGGUGUCUAGGAAUCACCACUCAGGGACUGCCCCUAAUGUUCUACUGAUUUGCAUAAAAACAAAAAUGACAACAAUAAUAACUACAAUAAUAGCUAAUGUCUGAGAGAUAUCUACAGGCCAGGCAUGGAGUGUUUACAAAUAGGAUCUCAAUCCUGAGAAUAACUCCAAUAGUAGGUCUUAUUAUCUCCAUUUAAUAUUUGAGAGGCAGAGAGAGGUUAGGGCACCUCCUAAAGACACCCAGCAUGAAGCCGUGAGAGCCUGACUAUAACCUGGGGAGGCUGACCUGGGAGCCCACACACUCAGGCCGUGCCUCUGUGAUGACAGCCCUAGCCCCAGGACCCAGGUUCCUACAAGAAGUCCCACCCACUAAGGGGCCGGGCUUCAGGCCAGGGGGGGUCAGGCAGGCUCACCUGGACCUUGGGCAGGACAGCAGCGAUGGACACGCAGACACAGAAGGUGAGGUUGAGGCUGAUGAAGACCUUGCCCUCGUGGCAGCCGCUGGGCUCAGUGUAGUACAUGAACAUCAGCGCCACGGCCGCGAUCGACAGCAAGUAGAAGAGGAGAGUGAAGAAGAAGAGGCCUGGGCCAGAGGGGUAGUGAGAGGGUAGGCAGUGGGUGGGGCAGGAGGAACAGGGAUCCCUACUCCCUCGAGGGACCCUGUUGGCAGCUCUCCCCCUCUCCAGCUCUCAGUUUCCCCACUUGAAGAAUGACGUCACUGCCUUUCACCAACACCUUUGUGAGUCAUUGCCCCACCCUGAGCUAACAUGAUUCACUUGCUACCUUGUAAUAAGGGAAUUGUAACAAUAAAUACAAUGAACUCAAAACAGUCUUGCAAAAACUGAACGAGGUACAGGCUGUUGACCUGCCCUCCCUGUCUGAGAGAUACUGGCAAGUCUAGGGAGGUGUGGAAACCAAACAGCACCCAGGUGAGCCUUUCUCCUCGUUGUGUUCAGAACUGAAAGGACCAGGGACUCACCCUGCUACUGGGGUUUCAGGGACCAGGUGUCACUUGAAGUUCAGCCUGGGCACCACCAAAAGGGCGUCCCACACUACUGGCUGUGUGUGGCCCACCCUGCAGGAACCCCCAAACAAGACCCCUCCAAGGCCUCUCCAGGUCAGCUCUCCUCGGAUUCCCUGAAGUCAUCCCAGGAUCAGCUGGUGCCCCCCAUCUCCCUGGGACAAUUGGAAUCUUGACCUAAGGCAGUGGCUGCUAGGGAUGCCCCCCAGUUUUAUCUAGCUUCAAGGACCCUCGAUUUCUCAGGCAGCCCCAGCCCUGCCCAGGCUCGAGUCCCCACACGGAGGCAGGGUGGCAGCACUGACCUGCGUACCAGGCACGGGAAUCGCACUCCUCGGCCUUGCCCAGCCACCGCUGGUUCCAGGAGUGCGCAAAGUCGAUGAGCAGCACCAGCUGGAUGAGGAUGAAGAGGAAGGAGCCCACGACGCCGAAGUAGAACCAGACUGGGUGGG
rnacentral:lncRNA from 1 species